UCGGAAUUACUGGGCGUAAAGCGUGCGCAGGCGGUUAUAUAAGACCGUUGUGAAAUCCCCGGGCUCAACCUGGGAACUGCAUCUGUGACUGUAUAGCUAGAGUACGGUAGAGGGGGAUGGAAUUCCGCGUGUAGCAGUGAAAUGCGUAGAUAUGCGGAGGAACACCGAUGGCGAAGGCAAUCCCCUGGACCUGUACUGACGCUCAUGCACGAAAGCGUGGGGAGCAAACAGG
rnacentral:rRNA from 1 species